AAGCGACACGUGGCACAUCUCCUUACAAAAUGAAUCUAUCAUAGCGGCUGUUUUCAGAGGCUUUCCCAAACACAGUGUGAUCUGGAACAAAUUGUGAAGCCCAUGAGCCUGGUGAAGCUUUCAUUAUUGAGCACCUGCUGUAUACCUCCUUGAGCUGAGGAGAAGGAUCAAGAGCUCAUGGCCAAGAGGGGACCAGGCCCACCCACAAACACUGUUGAUGUGUGGCCCUGAGCUGCGGCAGGGAUGUGGCAACGCAGAAAGGAACCAGGGGAUGGGUUCCCAGCAAUCUGGGGGCCACGGAGACUGUUUGAGUGCAGGGGGGGUGGGCUAGAGCUAGCCCUGGUGGUAGGAUUCACAGGUGUCGGGCUCCUGGGCUGCAGCUGCUUAGUCACCUCCUGGCACUCGGGUACAUCAGUUCAUUGACCUCAUGCCAGUGGUGGGGCAGCCCUAAUGCACAGGUCUGAAAAAUGCUCAGGUGUACCUGCAGUGUGGGAGAGGAAGGAGGCUGGCAAAGGUGGGUGUGGCCACCUCGCCAGGUGUGGGUCUUGAGGGAACUUCUGCCUCCUUUCAGAUGGCACAGAAUGUGGUCCUGUACACAGGCGACUCCAACCUGGGGUGGAGCCGUUUGAGGCAGCUGGAGACAUCUUCUUCAAUGGGGCCUGGGAGUGGGAGAAAUCCGUGUCCUUCUACCAGGGGACCGGCUGAAAGAGCACGUGGCCUACUACCGGCUGGCCGCCCUGCACCACCGGCUGGGCCAUGGCAAGCUGGCGGAGCACUUCUACCUCAAGGCCCUGUAGCUCUGCAACUUGCCGCUGGAGUUCGACGAGGAGACCCUCUACUACGUGAAGGUGUACCUGGUGCUCGGUGACAUCAUUGUCUACGACCUGAAGGAAUGGUUUGAUGCAGCCGGGUACUAUCAGCUGGUACUGGCAGCCGCCGUGGACCUGGGCAACAAGAAGGCACAGCUGAAGACCUACACACGGCCGGCCACCAUCUCCCACAACUUCCUCCUGGACUGCGAGAAGUUGCUCUUCUAUCAGAAGGCCAGGACAUACACCACAGUGCUCAAUGUCUGCAGGGUCAACCUGCCUCCUCUGCCACUCUGCGGGUGAGCCCCCUGGUUGGCCCCAGCCACCCUUGCUGAGGACAGCAUCCGAUAGAGUGGGUUUUGUGCAAGGAGGAUGGUCUCCUGCUUCUCCUGGUGUCUCCCGUGGCUCAUUUUCUGGGAAAUGGAGGCAUGAAAGCAGGGUUCAAAUAGCAAUAAUUUUUUUUUUGCAAUAACAUACUGAAUUCUCCAGGGCAUCCUUCCCUGUGUGCUUCCUGGACUGUGUCUAGGGGCCAGCUCCUUCCCUGGUGACAGCCCCUCUGUUCUUGGGGAUGAGAAGGACCCUGAGUCCAACAGACCUGGGCCAGGUCACCAUGAGCCUCGGUUUCCUUGGUGGCCAGAGGGGAGAUGGUGGUAGAACUCCCUGGGCAGCUCCCUGCUCUCCUUGCUCAGAGCUUUUGCUGUAGGUCUCGUGCCGCCCUUGCCUUUGUCCUUCAGGCCACUGUACCCGCAUGUGGGGGCUGCUAGUGCCCCUGUUCGCCAUUGAAGAAACAGAGGCACAGAGAAGUUAGGUGUCUCACCCACCGUCACACAGCAGGUAGGGGCAGAGACACAGAGCCUAGUACACUGACCACCACACCACCCUGCCAGCUUGCUGCCAGGAAGGUGUCCCCCAUUAGGACCCAGGGUCAGCUCCUGGACCUCUGUUGUGGUGUCAGGAGAGCCACAGGCCAGUGAGGGUGGCCCCGGGGAUCCCUCACUCAGUGUCCUCUGCUCCCAGACUUGGUUGGGCCGAGCCUGGCCAGUCCCACCUCUGUCCACCGGUCAGCCCUGCGGGAAGUGAG
ensembl:lncRNA